rnacentral:rRNA from 1 species
CUGGAAUGCAUCGAGAUUUAAAGCUCCGGCGCCUAAGGAUGGGUCUGCGGCCUAUCAGGUAGUAGUGGGUGUAGCGUACCUACUAGCCUACGACGGGUACGGGUUGUGAGAGCAAGAGCCCGGAGAUGGAUUCUGAGACACGAAUCCAGGCCCUACGGGGUGCAGCAGGCGCGAAAACUUUACAAUGCUGGCAACAGCGAUAAGGGAACCUCGAGUGCCAGGUUACAAAUCUGGCUGUCGAGAUGCCUAAAAAGCAUUUCAUAGCAAGGGCCGGGCAAGACCGGUGCCAGCCGCCGCGGUAACACCGGCGGCUCGAGUGGUAACCGUUAUUAUUGGGUCUAAAGGGUCUGUAGCCGGCCGGAUAAGUCUCUUGAGAAAUCUGGCAGCUUAACUGUCAGGCUUUCAGGAGAUACUGUCUGGCUCGAGGCCGGGAGAGGUGAGAGGUACUUCAGGGGUAGGGGUGAAAUCUUGUAAUCCUUGAAGGACCACCAGUGGCGAAGGCGUCUCACCAGAACGGACCUGACGGCAAGGGACGAAAGCUAGGGGCACGAACCGGAUUAGAUACCCGGGUAGUCCUAGCCGUAAACGAUACUCGCUAGGUGUCGGCCACGGUGCGACCGUUGUCGGUGCCGUAGGGAAGCCGUGAAGCGAGCCACCUGGGAAGUACGGCCGCAAGGCUGAAACUUAAAGGAAUUGGCGGGGGAGCACC